CAUUGCUUAAAGGUAACAUAGUUUACCCCUUUUUUAAUGAUAUAACAUUAUUAUUAUGGUUCUUCUGAGUGUGCCAGUUUAGGUUCAGUUCAAAACACAAUCCAGAUUUUUUUAUUAUAUUGUGUUAUAAUGUGUCAUUUUGGGGGUGUGUACACAGCUCGCUCUGAAGGGGCAUGUUGCUUCGCAUGAAAAUUAGUUUCAAAUUC
ensembl:processed_transcript